AUGGCAGGUUCCGGAGUUGUUAGUUCUUGGGCUUCAUCGAUCGUGGGAGAUUUUCCAUCACCUAAGAAAAUGCAACAACCGUCACAAGAGGAGCAACAACAUCAGAAUGCACAUGAGGUUAAUGUUUCCAUGCCACCAUUUACUGGUCGUUUUAGGCCUGAUUUAUAUAUUCAAUGGGGGUACGAAAUAAAUGCUAUAUUUGCUUCCCACUCUUUUGAUGAGCAUGGAAAAUUUCAAGUUGCGGUUAGUACUUUCAGUAGCUUCGCUUUAGUUUGGUGGAGUGAAUACUGUCGGUUAAACCAUGAUUAUAUACCUACUACUUGGGAUGGUUUAAAACAUGUCAUGAGAGAUAGAUUCGUAGAUGUUUAUUAUACUCAUGGCAUGAUUAAAAACUAG
rnacentral:rRNA from 1 species